GGUCCCGUAGCUCAGAUGGAUAGAGCAGGAACCUCCUAAGUUCAAGGUCGCCCGUUCGAGUCGGGCCGGGACCGCCA
rnacentral:tRNA from 1 species